AAAGGGUGUUAUUCUUUCAAGUUUUGAAGUGAAGCCACUGGUAGUAGUUUCAGUAAGAGAAUUUUGCCCUGCUACUAGGUGCAAAAGACAACUUCUAGCUGAGACAAGCUUUGCACAACUCCUGACUCAAUCUGGUGGGACUCUGCCUGUGAGAUGAGAUGGAACACUUGCUGCUCAAGCACCAUGAAGCUACUGGGUUGAAUUUGUUUGACACAGAGUAUAACCAGACAGGGACACAGAGUCAGACCUGUAAAUUAUUAAUUCAGCCACCAGCAGCUAACUCUGCCCCUGCAUUUGACUAGCUCUUAUCACUGAGCUCACUGAUCACAAUUAUGAAGAUGCUGUGAGACUUGAUGGCAAGAGACUAAGAAGAACAGGUAUCAUUCGCA